GCGAGGAUGGCGGAAUUGGCAGACGCGACAGUUUGAGGGGCUGUUGGUUGCAAAACUAUGAGGGUUCAAGUCCCUCUCCUCGCACCA
rnacentral:tRNA from 1 species